rnacentral:lncRNA from 1 species
UAUGAAAAUGGAAAAAACCCAGAUUAGAAUUCAACAAAAUUAUGAAGAUUUAUAGCUAAAAAUCAAUGCUUUAGGACAAAAAGUGUAAAUAAGGUUGCUUUUGGAUCAAAAUUUGAAACAUGACAUAGAAGGGUUUGUAGAGAAAAGAUCAAAUUUUGGGAUUAAUUAAAGGUGGCGAAGGGAAAAUGUCUGAAGUAUGAAAUAAACAAAAAUGGAAGGAAGGAACAAGCAACAUGAAACAAAGUCAAAUGUUGAGAUUUGAAUUCAUGUGCAGAAUAUGUAUUUGAAAUGUUUGAGGUUAUUCAUUACAAGAACAAUGUUGUUGAGGAAGGACAUUGUCUCCUUUACAAGAAAAUCAACAAAAGUUUGUGGAAUGUUUUAGCUUUAAAUUGUUUAUUCUAUAUAUUAUGUUAAUAUUAACUCAAUUCAUGUUUACUAUAUAAGGAAAUACAUUAUCAAUAUACUUUUAGAGAAUUUAUAACAUC